rnacentral:sRNA from 1 species
CCAAAAAAAAAAAAUGUAGCCUCGAUUGUGAGACUCGGCCAAACAAUAAAGAGAUUUGGAGUUAAUUAUGUUGCUUGGCCUAAAAGAAACAAGGGUAUUAUCAAUCUGUAUACAUGGAAGAUUACAAAAUUAAGUGUUAGAGAAAACUACUGUUGAGCCUUCUCUCUCCAUAAUGAAAAUACAUUUAUACCCUAUAUCAUAUUUGUUCUUGACGUUAAAAAUUUUGUUACCUUUUAAUAAUAAUGUUAUCAUCUUCCCAUAAUUAUACAAUCUUUGAAAUCAAAUCGUUGGUUCAAUAGCUGAUAAUUUGUUCAUAUCGUCAACUGUAUUAUUAACAUGUUAAGUAGGUUUGUAUCUUAAGUUUUUUCAUCCAUAUAUCAAAACUCCAUCUAUAUUUCACUAACAAUUUUAUCCUGAUAAUACGUUAUCUGUUAACUAUUCUGAUGCAUGUAUUUUUUCUACAUGAUUAUUCAGUCGCAAGUCGACUUUUUUUGCUCUUCAUGCUAAAUAUUUUGUUACCUUUUAAUAAUAAUGUUAUCUUCUUCGCAUAUAUAUGUGUCUUUGAAAUCUAAACAUUGGUUCAAUAACUGAAAAUUUGUUUAUAUCGUCAAAUAUAUUAUUAACAUAUUAAGUUGGUUUAUACUCCAUGUCAUUUCAUCCAUACAUCAAACUCCAUCCAUAUUUCGCUAACGAUAUUAUCUCGAUAAUGCGUUAUCUGCUAACUAUCCUGAUUUUUAUCAUAUCUCUUUGUAGGGGUAUAUUUGUCAUAUAGAUUUUAGUUGAAAA